rnacentral:rRNA from 1 species
CCUACGGGUGGCAGCAGUAGGGAAUAUUGCUCAAUGGGGGAAACCCUGACGCAGCAACGCCGCGUGGAGGAUGAAGGUUUUAGGCUUGUAAACUCCUUUUGUGAGAGAAGAUAAUGACGGUAUCUCACUGAUAAGCACCUGCUAAUACCGUGCCAGCAGCCGCGGUAACACGGUAGGUACAAACUGUCAUCCGUAUCACUGGGCCUAAAGGGUGCGCCGGCGGGUUUGUAAAUCCGAUGUGAAAACCUCUUGCUUAACUACAGGACUGCAUUUGAAACUAGUCGUCUAGAGUGUGAGAGAGGUAAGUGGAAUUCUAGGUGUAGGGGUAAAAUCCGUAGAUAUAAAGAGGAAUACUCAUGGCGAAGGUGACCUACUGGAACUUUACUGACGCUCAUGCACGAAAGCGUGGGGAGCAAACAGGAUUAGAUACCCCUGUAGUC